rnacentral:rRNA from 1 species
UGCCAGCCGCCGCGGUAAUACGGAGGGUGCAAGCGUUGUUCGGAAUUAUUGGGCGUAAAGCGCGUGUAGGCGGUUCGUUAAGUCUGAUGUGAAAGCCCGGGGCUCAACCCCGGAAGUGCAUUGGAAACUGGCGAACUUGAGUACGGGAGAGGAAAACGGAAUUCCAUGUGUAGCGGUGAAAUGCGUAGAUAUAUGGAAGAACAUCAGUGGCGAAGGCGGUUUUCUAGCUUAUUCCUGACGCUGAGGCGCGAAAGCAAGGGGAGCGAACAGGAUUAGAUA